rnacentral:misc_RNA from 1 species
CCUUGUGCUCAGAGCAACAGCUCAGUAGACGCUGGCAUUCGUACAACGUCUGACCAUGGCUCUUCGCGUCGCAGCUGCUGUUCUCCUUCUGGCCGUCGCUGCCAGCGCCGAGGAAUGUUCCUUGCCUUCCUGCCUCCUCGUUGACGGGCAUCCGAUCCGGUGUCAAGACCCCUCUUUGGUCCAGUUCAUCCCGCACCCCACCAACUGCCAUCAGUACAUACAGUGCACCUUAGCAGGGCCUAUCCUAAGGGACUGCCCUCCUGGAACGGCCUGGGACCAAGACCUCAGGACCUGCGCUCACGAGGCCACUGUCGCUUCCUGUAAUAAGGUUCCUGAGAUCUGCGACUGUGACUGCUGCUUCCGCGCCGACCCCGAUGACGUCACUGGCUUCGUCUACUGUUACAUGACAAAGCAACGGCCUACAAACUGAACUGCCCAGAGGGUCGAAACUGGAAUGAUUCCACCAAGUUAUGUGCUUAAGAAAUGACGACAUGGAUUAUCACUAGAAUAUUACUAACCAGAAGGUAUAAGGAGAAGAAAAGCUUCCCGGAAUCACAAGCAAUAACAGAGAUCAUGAACAAGCCAUAGUCAUAACAAUAAGAGACCACUGGACUUCUCACAAGCCCGAAACCUCAAGGUUUCCAUCGCGGCUUCGGUAGUACUUCGGGAGGUUUCCUUUGCUGUCAUGGGAUACAGAUAAUGAUUGUGGUAUUGGCAGUGAUUAAAAUUUUUAAUUCUGAAUGGA